rnacentral:rRNA from 1 species
CCUACGGGAGACAGCAGUGGGGGAUAUUGCACAAUGGGGGAAACCCUGAUGCAGCGACGCCGCGUGGGUGAAGAAGCGCCUCGGCGCGUAAAGCCCUGUCAGCAGGGAAGAAAAUGACGGUACCUGAAGAAGAAGGCCCGGCAAACUACGUGACAGCAGCCGCGGGAAUACGUAGGGGGCAAGCUGUAUCCGGAUUUACUGGGUGUAAAGGGGGCGCAGACGGCGAUGCAAGACAGGAGUGAAAGCCCGGGGCCCAACCCCGGGACUGCUCUUGGAACUGCGUGGCUAGAGUGCAGGAGGGGCAGGCGGAAUGCGUGGUGUAGCGGUGAAAUGCGUAGAUAUCAGGAGGAACACCGAUGGCGAAGGCGGCCUGCUGGACUGCAACUGACGUUGAGGCCCGAAAGCGUGGGGAGCAAACAGGAUUAGAUACCCCUGUAGUC